UUUAGUUUUCAAAGUGAAGCCAACAUGGAAACACAAGAUUAACAUUUAGUGAUGUUAAUUUGUUUGUUUUUUUGGUUUUGUUUUGUUUUUUCUGUAUUUUAGACAGACGUACUCCGUUAACCUGAUUUGGAUUUUCACCGAAAGGUCCUGUUAAAAGGCUACAAGUAAUAACCUCUUAUCUGUUCCCAUGGAAAACUGUCAUGGCCGCUGCAGUUAGCAUAAAUAGCCAGAAGAUGCUGAAGCUAACAGCUGGUCCCGCUAGCUAGUGACAGUGACUAAGACGUGUUGAUACAGCAUGUUUGUCACACUUUAAAGUGUUUGUUUUGUAUUAUUAGAAGAUAAUUCUUAGUCCAAUAAUUUGUAACCUCACAUUUUGCAAGUCUACAUUACUAACACGGGAAACCGGUAGGAGGAGGUGCGGCGCUAUUAGCUUUAGCCCUUGGGAUACGAGAAGAGCUACCAAUUACAGUCAGUGAUGGUGUCAUGAAAUACGGUGUGAGGUGGUGAGGCAGAUGCUGAGGACCCAGACUGGAAUGAAUAACGGUGAAUUUAAUGAUGAAUCCAGAAAUGCAAAAGUCCAAAAUCUGCUGGUAGCAACUGGUGAGACAGCUGGACAGCAAGACAAAUACGACAGAAUCGAUGAGGAUCCGACAAAGACACAGAAACGCAGAGCGGACAAUCCCUGACCGGUGAUUUGAGGUCAGUGUGCGACGUGUGGUUGAGCAACAAGAAGACGAGCCUCUCCAGUUCUCUCUCUCGGUCAGAUUUUUGUCGGUCAGGCGACCAUGAUGCGACUGGCGUGGGACGGUCUUCCUUCUCCACAGGGGCUUCAGUCAGAAAAUAAAACAGAUUUUUUCAACCAGUGGGUUCCAAACUUAUCACCGUCCAAUCAACUUAAACGUGGAAGAGACGCAAGACCCGGACUAUCGGUUGAGUCUACAAGCAUUUCUACAAAAUCAAACAAAAAUCAGCAUCAGCAGUCGGAGCAGUUUGCCAGUCCAUCAGUCAGAGGGUUUCUGAUCUCUGGGGAUAAAGUUCGUGGAGCGUCUUCAGGAAGCCCGAUCCC